GGAAAGUGAACAGCAGUUAGUGGAGUCUGAGAAAACAAAAUCCUCUUCUGCCCAUGAAAAUGAAAAACUUCAGGAAGCAUUUAAAGCUUUACAAAAAAAUAAUGAAAACCUGAUGGAAAAGCUCAGGACACUGCAGUCUGCUGUAGAAGAAGAAAGGAGAAAGAACCUGCAUCAAGAAGAAAGAUUGUCUGACACUCAAAAGUCAUUCAAGAAGCUUCAGAGUUUAAUUAAUUCUAAGAGUGCUGAACUGUCAAAGGUA